CAAUGGGAGAAAUCCUGAAGCAGCAACGCCGCGUGGAGGAUGAAGGGUCUAUGACUUGUAAACUCCUGUAAAGAAGGAAAAAAUUCCCAUUAGAUGGGAGAUGAUGGUACUUCUGGAGUAAGCCCCGGCUAACUACGUGCCAGCAGCCGCGGUAAUACGUAGGGGGCAAGCGUUGUCCGGAUUUACUGGGUGUAAAGGGUGCUCAGGCGGAUUUGUAAGUCAGAGGUGAAAUCUUACAGCUUAACUGUGAAACUGCCUUUGAAACUGCAAGCAUAGAGUAUGGAAGAGAGUGAUGGAAUAUCUGGUGUAGCAGUGAAAUGCGUAGAUAUCAGAUAGAACACCAAUGGCGAAGGCAGUCACUUGGUCCAUUACUGACGCUAAAGCACGAAAGCGUGGGUAGCAAACA
rnacentral:rRNA from 1 species